rnacentral:rRNA from 1 species
UACAGAGGGUGCAAGCGUUGUUCGGAAUUAUUGGGCGUGAAGCGCGUGUAGGCGGCUUUGCAAGUCGGGUGUGAAAUCCCUCAGCUCAACUGAGGAAGUGCGCCCGAAACUGCAGAGCUUGAGUACCGGAGAGGAUGGUGGAAUUCCCCAAGUAGAGGUGAAAUUCGUAGAUAUGGGGAGGAACACCGGUGGCGAAGGCGACCAUCUGGACGGAUACUGACGCUGAGACGCGAAAGCGUGGGGAGCAAACAGG